AUUGAACGCUGGCGGCAGGCCUAACACAUGCAAGUCGAGCGGAUGAAGGGGGCUUGCUCCUGGAUUCAGCGGCGGACGGGUGAGUAAUGCCUAGGAAUCUGCCUUGUAGUGGGGGAUAACGUCCUGAAACGGGCGCUAAUACCGCAUACGUCCUGAUGGAGAAAGUGGGGGAUCUUCGGACCUCACGCUAUCAGAUGAGCCUAGGUCGGAUUAGCUAGUUGGUGGGGUAAAGGCCUACCAAGGCGACGAUCGGUAACUGGUAUGAGAGGAUGAUCAGUCACACUGGAAGUGAGACAGGGUCCAGACUCCUACGGGAGGAAGCAGUCGGGAAUAUUGGACAAUGGGGGAAAGCCUGAUCCAGCCAUGCCGCGUGUGUGAAGAAGGUCUUAGGAUUGUAAAGCACUUUAAGUUGGGAGGAAGGGAAGUAAGUUAAUACCUUGCUGUUUUGACGUUACCAACAGAAUAAGCACCGGCUAACUUCGUG
rnacentral:rRNA from 1 species